UACGUAGGGUGCGAGCGUUAAUCGGAAUUACUGGGCGUAAAGCGUGCGCAGGCGGUUCGUUGUGUCGGCGGUGAAAGCCCCGGGCUCAACCUGGGAAUGGCCGUUGAAACUGGCGAACUGGAGUGUGGCAGAGGGGGGUGGAAUUCCGCGUGUAGCAGUGAAAUGCGUAGAGAUGUGGAGGAACACCGAUGGCGAAGGCAGCCCCCUGGGUCAAGACUGACGCUCAUGCACGAAAGCGUGGGGAGCAAACAGG
rnacentral:rRNA from 1 species